GGACCAGACUCCUACGGGAGGCAGCAGUGGGGAAUAUUGCACAAUGGGGGAAACCCUGAUGCAGCAACGCCGCGUGAAGGAAGACGGUUUUCGGAUUGUAAACUUCUAUCAAUAGGGAAGAAAGAAAUGACGGUACCUAAAUAAGAAGCCCCGGCUAACUACGUGCCAGCAGCCGCGGUAAUACGUAGGGGGCAAGCGUUAUCCGGAUUUACUGGGUGUAAAGGGAGCGUAGACGGAGGAGCAAGUCUGAUGUGAAAAUCCGGGGCCCAACCCCGGAACUGCAUUGGAAACUGUUUAUCUAGAGUGUCGGAGAGGCAAGUGGAAUUCCUAGUGUAGCGGUGAAAUGCGUAGAUAUUAGGAGGAACACCAGUGGCGAAGGCGGCUUGCUGGACGAUGACUGACGUUGAGGCUCGAAAGCGUGGGUAUCGAACAGGAUUAGAUACCCGUGUAC
rnacentral:rRNA from 1 species